UAGUCCACGCCGUAAACGAUGAUUACUCGUUGUUGGCGAUACACAGUCAGCGACUGAGCGAAAGCAUUAAGUAAUCCACCUGGGGAGUACGUCGGCAACGAUGAAACUCAAAGGAAUUGACGGGGGCCCGCACAAGCGGAGGAACAUGUGGUUUAAUUCGAUGAUACGCGAGGAACCUUACCUGGGCUUAAAUGUAGCGUGACCGUACUCGAAAGAGUAUUUCUCUUCGGAGCAGGUUACAAGGUGCUGCAUGGCUGUCGUCAGCUCGUGCCGUGAGGUGUCGGGUUAAGUCCCAUAACGAGCGCAACCCCUAUCGUUAGUUGCCAUCGGGUCAUGCCGGAAACUCUAGCGAGACUGCCACCGUAAGGUGCGAGGAAGGUGGGGAUGACGUCAAGUCAGCACGGCCCUUAUGUCCAGGGCUACACACGUGUUACAAUGGUCAGUACAAAGGGCAGCUAUCCAGCGAUGGAGUGCUAAUCUCAAAAACUGAUCCCAGUUCGGAUCGG
rnacentral:rRNA from 1 species